UACGGGGGGAGCAAGCGUUGUUCGGAUUUACUGGGCGUAAAGGGCGCAGUAGGCGGCCACCGCAAGUCGACUGUGAAAUCUCCGGGCUUAACCCGGAAAGGUCAGCCGAUACUGCGGGGCUAGAGUGCAGAAGGGGCAACUGGAAUUCGUCGGUGGUAGCGGUGAAAUGCGUAGGAUAAUCGGGAGGAACACCAGUGGCGAAAGGCGAGUCUCGUGGGCUGUAUCUGACGCUGAUGCGCGAAAGCUAGGGGAGCAAACGGGAUUGAGAUACC
rnacentral:rRNA from 1 species